rnacentral:rRNA from 1 species
AUUGAACGCUGGCGGCAUGCCUUACACAUGCAAGUCGAACGGCAGCACGGGAGCAAUCCUGGUGGCGAGUGGCGAACGGGUGAGUAAAGUAUCGGAACGUGCCCAGUCGUGGGGGAUAACGUAGCGAAAGUUACGCUAAUACCGCAUACGAUCUAUGGAUGAAAGCGGGGGAUCGCAAGACCUCGCGCGAUUGAAGCGGCCGAUAUCAGAUUAGGUAGUUGGUGGGGUAAAGGCUCACCAAGCCGACGAUCUGUAGCUGGUCUGAGAGGACGACCAGCCACACUGGGACUGAGACACGGCCCAGACUCCUACGGGAGGCAGCAGGGGGGAAUUUUGGACAAUGGGCGAAAGCCUGAUCCAGCCAUGCCGCGUGCAGGAUGAAGGCCUUCGGGUUGUAAACUGCUUUUGUACGGAACGAAAAGGUUUGGCCUAAUAAGCUGAGCUCAUGACGGUACCGUAAGAGUAAGCACCGGCUAACUACGUGCCAGCAGCCGCCGUAA